UACGUAGGGUGCGAGCGUUGUCCGGAAUUACUGGGCGUAAAGAGCUUGUAGGCGGUUUGUCGCGUCUGCUGUGAAAAUCCGGGGCUCAACCCCGGACUUGCAGUGGGUACGGGCAGACUAGAGUGUGGUAGGGGAGACUGGAAUUCCUGGUGUAGCGGUGAAAUGCGCAGAUAUCAGGAGGAACACCGAUGGCGAAGGCAGGUCUCUGGGCCACUACUGACGCUGAGAAGCGAAAGCAUGGGGAGCGAACAGGAUUAGA
rnacentral:rRNA from 1 species